rnacentral:rRNA from 1 species
UUCGCAAUGCCCGAAAGGGUGACGAAGCGACGCCGCGUGGGUGAAGAAGGCCUUCGGGUUGUAAAGCCCUGUCAGGAGUUAUGAAAUGUAGGUGCGCUAAUAUCGUGCUUAUUUGACAAAGGCUCCAAAGGAAGCCACGGCUAACUCUGUGCCAGCAGCCGCGGUAAUACAGAGGUGGCGAGCGUUGUUCGGAAUUAUUGGGCGUAAAGAGCACGUAGGUGGGUUUGCAAGUCAGAUGUGAAAGCCUUCUGUUCGACGGAAGAAUUGCAUCUGAAACUGCUAAUCUUGAGUAUAGGAGGGGAGAAUGGAACUUCUGGUGGAGCGGUGAAAUGCGUAGAUAUCAGAAGGAACGCCGGCGGCGAAAGCGAUUCUCUGGCCUAUUACUGACACUCAGUGUGCGAAAGCUAGGGGAGCAAACGGGAUUAGAUACCCCGGUAGUCCUAGCCGUAAACGAUGGGCACUAAGUAGA